rnacentral:RNase_P_RNA from 1 species
GAGGAAAGUCCGAGCUACACUAGAGACAAGACUCCACCUAACGGGUGGCCAGAGUAAUCUGAGGGCAAGUGCAACAGAGAGAAGACUACCGCUUCGGCGGUAAAAGGUGAAAGGGUGGGGUAAGAGCCCACCAGUAGCUGUGGUAACAUGGCUAGCUAGGUAAACCCUGUUUGUAGCAAGAAGUACAUGGUAAAAGUCUCUAAACUUGGCAGUAAUGCCAAAAUAGUACUUCGCUUGAGCUUUGUAGUAAUACAUAGCCUAGAUAAAUAACUACCCACGACAGAACUCGGCUUA